AUUCCAUUAGGCAAAAGUGCGUCGGAAAAGUAUUUAAGUGAAGAAAAGAAAGGGUAAAAGAAAAAAGAAAAAAAAUAAUUAAAUGAAGAUAAUAUUUUGAGGCCAUAUUAUUAUUUGGGGACCGAAUGAGCCGCUGAUAUUGCGGGCCCCCACUCACUCAAUGUUUGCGGGCCACUCGUCUUCUCCGAAAGCCACCACACCUGCUUGAAGUUUCAAUGACGGCUGGUCGACCAUCUUCCCCCUCGCCACCGAGCGCUCAGAAUGGCCUCCUCCCUCCGCCUCUCUCCCGUUCUCCUCCUCCACACCUCCUGGCAGCCGCGGCGCCGGCCUCCUCGGGGCCUCCGCGACAUCCGGUGCGACGGGAGGAGCCCCAGCGACGGUGGCUCCAGAUCGGAGAACGCGGUGCUCAGGCUGGCCUGGUACGGCUCCGAGCUCCUCGGUAUCGCCGCCUCCUUGUUCCGUCCCUCCCCCUCGGGGGCCCCAUCGGAGGAGUUGCGGGCCGAUGGAUUGGGGUUCGCGGCUGGCCGGGCGGAGGUGGCGGAAGCGAUUAAAGAGGACUUCGACCGUUCCUACUUCGUCACAGGGAACUUGACACUUGAAGCCUAUGAAGAUGACUGUGAAUUUGCUGAUCCGGCAGGUUCCUUCAGAGGCCUUCGACGUUUUAAACGAAAUUGUACAAAUUUUGGAUCACUGCUUGAAAAAUCUAGCAUGAAACUCACAAAGUGGGAGGACUUUGAGGAUAAGUCAAUUGGACACUGGCGUUUCAGUUGCAUCAUGUCAUUUCCUUGGAGGCCAAUUCUUUCUGGUAUAUAGGAAACCAUCUUCCAAGAGUAAAACCUAUCCCUUUUAUACUGUUGAUUGUUAAUCUUGUUGGUGUUUCUUGGUUACUUCCAUCCCUGACAGCUACUGGCUAUACAGAAUACUAUUUUGAUGCUCAAUCAGGGAGAGUUUGCAGGCAUGUGGAGCAUUGGAAUGUUCCUAAAAUGUCACUUUUCAAGCAAAUAUUCAGACCAAGCCGUUGGGUAUGGGAGAAACGCUAAAAGCCCUCAGUGUGAAUCUCGACAAUUUAAGGAUUUACAUAAGGUUUUUGGUUGACCCUGAUUUGUUCACCAAUCAACUUGGAGUAUCCUUGCUGAUACUGUCUGUUAGUUUACCUUGCUCAUUUAGCAGUUUAAGCUAUCAACCAAGUGAUGUACAUAAUGCAUGACAACAUAGAUCCACUAAAUAUAUGAGGAUAUUUUGUA